rnacentral:rRNA from 1 species
GAUGAACGCUAGCGAUAGGCUUAACACAUGCAAGUCGAGGGACCGGCGCACGGGUGCUUAAUGCGAAUGCACCUUGCCUCACAGAGGGGGAUAACCCGUCGAUAGACGGACUAAUACCGCGUAAUGUGAGAUAGGCAUGCGUCCCAUUGGCUAGUUGGUGAGGUAACGGCUCACCAAGGCAACGAUGGGUAGGGGAACUGAGAGGUUGAACCCCCACACUGGUACUGAGACACGGACCAGACUCCUACGGGAGGCAGCAGUGAGGAAUAUUGGUCAAUGGGCGAGAGCCUGAACCAGCCAAGUCGCGUGAAGGAUGACUGUCUAUGGAUUUUAAACUUCUUUUGUAGGGGAAUAUGUACCCUACGAAUAAGCAUCGGCGAACGCCGUGCCAGCAGCCGCGGUAAUAC